UACGGAGGAGGCAAGCGUUAUCCGGAAUUAUUGGGCGUAAAGCGUCCGUAGGUGGCUCUUCAAGUCUGCUGUCAAAGAGUGGGGCUUAACCCUGCAAAGGCAGUGGAAACUGAAAGGCUAGAGAGCCGUAGGGGUAGAGGGAAUUCCCGGUGUAGCGGUGAAAUGCGUAGAUAUCGGGAGGAACAUCAGUGGCGAAGGCGGCUGUCUGGCCCAAUACUGACACUCAGGUGCGACAGCGUGGGGAGCAAACAGG
rnacentral:rRNA from 1 species